GCAGGAUCAGGAUGGGUACAUUACAAAACUGCACCCCUGUCCCUACGUACAUGCUGCAUAUUUUUUACCAACCCGAAAAUAAUUUGUUCUAAAAUUGUGUGUUGUGAAUCUACCAUGGAGAUAUGUAAUUGCCUGCGUGCAGUUUAGUAGAAAUGGGAUGUCCGAUCUGUGCCAAAUAAGCGGUUUGCCCCGAGGUUUGAAUGUCAAUGUACGUCUAUACGGUAUAGUUAAAGGAACGCCAAUCCUAAAGUCGGCCACUUACGGUAUAUAGGCCAGCGUGUGUAAAGGGCUGCGGAUUUCUAUCACUGAUAAUCAGAUGGUCGGAAGGAAGUACAGACAGAUAAGUGCGAUAACGUAGUGAGUGGGUCGGUGGGAGGGGUGACGGGCAGACAUUUCGUUGACAUCUUUAAAGGGGUUUCCCGAGAUUUUAAUACUGAUGACCUAUCCUCUAAAGCAGGGAUGCCCAACCUUCGGCCCUCCAGCUGUUGUAAAACUGCAACUCCCACCAUGCCCUGCUGUAGGCUGAUAGCUGUAGGCAGUCUGGGCAUGCUGGGAGUUGUAGUUUUGCAACAGCUGGAGGGCUGCAGGUUGGCCAUCCCUGCACUAGAGAGUGUAUGAUCAGCUUCAGAGCGAACCCAUGGUUUCUGAAAUAGCUGCUUACAGACACCAGAUAGCAUUUAAAGGAGUUCUCCGGGAUAUUCAUAUUGACGACUUAUCCUUAGGAUAGAUCAUCAAUAUGAGAUCGGCAGGGGGUCCGACCUAACGCCCCCCCCCCCCCCCCCCCCCCGAUUAGCACAGCAGUGUACAUUGUGAGGGAUGAUGAUAGGCGUACGUCUAUAUGUGAAGGAGGAUGAUAGGUGUACGUCUAUAUGUGAGGGAUGAUGAUAGGUGUACGUCUAUAUGUGAGGGAGGAUGAUAGGCGUACGUCUAUAUGUGAGGGAGGAUGAUAGGCGUACGUCUAUAUGUGAGGGAGGAUAAUAGGCGUACGUCUAUAUGUGAGGGAGGAUGAUAGGCGUACGUCUAUAUGUGAGGGAUGAUGAUGGGUGUACAUCUAUAUGUGAGGGAUGAUGAUAGGCGUACGUCUAUAUGUGAGGGAUGAUGAUAGGUGUACAUUUAUAUGUGAGGGAUGAUGAUGGGUGUACAUCUAUAUGUGAGGGAUGAUGAUGGGUGUACGUCUAUAUGUGAGGGAGGAUUAUAGGCGUACGUCUAUAUGUGAGGGAGGAUGAUAGGCGUACGUCUAUAUGUGAGGGAUGAUGAUAGGUGUACAUUUAUAUGUGAGGGAUGAUGAUGGGUGUACAUCUAUAUGUGAGGGAUGAUGAUAGGCGUACGUCUAUAUGUGAGGGAUGAUGAUAGGUGUACGUCUAUAUGUGAGGGAGGAUGAUAGGUGUACGUCUAUAUGUGAGGGAUGAUGAUAGGUGUACGUCUAUGUGAGGGAU